rnacentral:rRNA from 1 species
AUCUUCCGCAAUGGGCGAAAGCCUGACGGAGCAACGCCGCGUGAGUGAUGAAGGUUUUCGGAUCGUAAAGCUCUGUUGCCAGGGAAGAACGUCGGGUAGAGUAACUGCUACCCGAGUGACGGUACCUGAGAAGAAAGCCCCGGCUAACUACGUGCCAGCAGCCGCGGUAAUACGUAGGGGGCAAGCGUUGUCCGGAAUUAUUGGGCGUAAAGCGCGCGCAGGCAGUCACUUAAGUCUGGUGUUUAAGGCUAGGGCUCAACUCUAGUUCGCACUGGAAACUGGGUGACUUGAGUGCAGAAGAGGAAAGUGGAAUUCCACGUGUAGCGGUGAAAUGCGUAGAGAUGUGGAGGAGCACCAGUGGCGAAGGCGACUUUCUGGGCUGUAACUGACGCUGAGGCGCGAAAGCGUGGGGAGCAAACAGGA